rnacentral:rRNA from 1 species
CAGUAGCCGCGGGAAUACGAAGGGUGCAAGCGUUACUCGGAAUUACUGGGCGUAAAGCGUGCGUAGGUGGUGGUUUAAGUCCGUUGUGAAAGCCCUGGGCUCAACCUGGGAAUUGCAGUGGAUACUGGGUCACUAGAGUGUGGUAGAGGAUAGUGGAAUUUCCGGUGUAGCAGUGAAAUGCGUAGAGAUCUGGAGGAAUACCGGUGGCGAAGGCGGCCCCCUGGACAAAGACUGACGCUCAGGUGCGAAAGCGUGGGGAGCAAACAGGAUUAGAUACCCCCGUAGUCCCUGUCUCUUAUAC